GUUCCUGUAGCGCAAUGGAUAGCGUUUUGAACUUCUAAUCCAAAGGUCGUGGGUUCGAAUCCCUCUUGGAAUG